GAUGAACGCUAGCUACAGGCUUAACACAUGCAAGUCGAGGGGCAGCAUUUCAGUUUGCUUGCAAACUGGAGAUGGCGACCGGCGCACGGGUGAGUAACACGUAUCCAACCUGCCGAUAACUCGGGGAUAGCCUUUCGAAAGAAAGAUUAAUACCCGAUGGUAUAAUCAGACCGCAUGGUUUGAUUAUUAAAGAAUUUCGGUUAUCGAUGGGGAUGCGUUCCAUUAGUUUGUUGGCGGGGUAACGGCCCACCAAGACUACGAUGGAUAGGGGUUCUGAGAGGAAGGUCCCCCACAUUGGAACUGAGACACGGUCCAA
rnacentral:rRNA from 1 species